GGGGAUAUAGCUCAAAUGGUAGAGCACUUGCUUAAUAAGCAAAAGGCCCUGAGUUCAAAUCCUGGUACUACUA
rnacentral:tRNA from 1 species